rnacentral:lncRNA from 1 species
GGAAAGUUCUGGUCAAAGAAGAUACUAGACAGGAUGUCUGAAUUUGUAUACUAUAAACUACUUUUCUUUCUAAAUAAGUACAUUUAAAUUUGUCAAACAAACCAACUGAAAUAUUAAAUAAUAGGUAUAAACAUAUAACUGUAUGGGAAGACAUUCCCCACCAUUUCUUUUUUUUUCCUGUCAUGGCUAAACUUCUACAUCUCUUCAGUGCUCCAGAGAGUUUCACCACUAUUUGUAAAGCCUGAAGAAAGUAAAGGAAUAAAAACUGAAAGUAAAAUCGCAUGGGAUCAAGAGAACUCAUCUCUCUGUCAAAGUGAUUCUGCUUCAGAUUCACAAAAAUUAGAUGAGAAGAAUGCCUAUGAUCUUCAAAUCUGAGUUCAUCUAUAUGUGGACCAUGGACAGGCUGGGAAUGCUCUGCCAGAAUAUAAAAGCAAAAGACGGAGAUUUAUGAACCUGAAGAGCUUUUCUCUGCCUGGUCCAAUCUCCAAGCAUUUCAAAUUUUAUUAACCUCUUCUAUUAUCUGAUUUGUUAUUCCUGUACAUUGUGCCUUGGUUGGACCAUCAGUUAAUGGUUCUGCUCUCAGAAACAAAGAAAGACUGACAUAAGAAAAGAGGGAUCUGUCUUUCUUUUCUGGUCAGGAGAACAAAAUAAGGCAAGCUGAUGUGUGUGUGUCCUUAGCAACUUUGCUACCAGAAAUUCUUUCUAAACAUUUCUGACUGCAGUCCCUUGAUUUUGACAAAUGCUUCAGCCAUAAAAGUGCUUUUAGUUUCAAAAGAAUUUCUAUACAGUAUUUCUAUACAGGAAUAGUGUUUCCUCCAGUCUAACCUUCUCACCAUGAAAAUUUCUACAGAG